rnacentral:tRNA from 1 species
GACUCCGUAGCUGAAGGAAUAAAAGCACCCGUCUGACGAAAUGGGAGUCGUGAGUUCGAGUCUUACCGGAGUAC